rnacentral:rRNA from 1 species
AUUGAACGCUGGCGGCAUGCCUUACACAUGCAAGUCGAACGGCAGCACGGGUGCUUGCACCUGGUGGCGAGUGGCGAACGGGUGAGUAAUACAUCGGAACAUGUCCUGUAGCGGGGGAUAGCCCGGCGAAAGCCGGAUUAAUACCGCAUACGAUCUACGGAUGAAAGCGGGGGACCUUCGGGCCUCGCGCUAUAGGGUUGGCCGAUGGCUGAUUAGCUAGUUGGUGGGGUAAAGGCCUACCAAGGCGACGAUCAGUAGCUGGUCUGAGAGGACGACCAGCCAUACUGGGACUGAGACACGGCCCAGACUCCGACGGGAGGCAGCAGUGGGGAAUUUUGGACAAUGGGCGAAAGCCUGAUCCAGCAGUGCCGCGUGUGUGAAGAAGGCCUGCGGGUUGUAAAGCACUUUUGUCCUGAAAGAAAUCCUUGGCCCUAAGACGGUCGGGGGAUGACGGGACCGGAAGAAUAAGCACCGGCUAACUACGU